rnacentral:lncRNA from 1 species
AAGAUGGACAGAAGGAGUGUGCUUUUUUUUGCUUAAAUAUGGCUGGUGAAUAUCCCUGAAAACACAGCAACCCACAUCCUGGUUGACCACUGCUGUUCACCUCAUCAAAAAGAGUGACUUCAGAAAGGUAGGAACCUUCAGUUUGCUGUGAGGAUGCUGCUCCUCUGCCUCAUGUUUGCAGGUGCUGGAGAACAAAGCCAGUCCUAGCAUAAACAGGGACUUCUGACACUCCCAGCUGAAGUACAAGAAAAGGACUUCACACAACUGAAGUACAAGAAAAGACUUUCUGCUACAUUUUAGCAUUUUGUGGGGCAUAAGUUGGGAGCUGAGAGCAACAAACUCCUUUGGUCAUGAGAUGAGCUUCACUUCACUCCUGUUGUUUCCAGUCACCACAGUUAAGAAACCAAAGUGAAGUGGUGGACAUAGGAUGCUUGGAUACCUGUCUAAUACAGCAUCAAGACACAGCUGAAGUUUACACCCAGCCCUGUUUAACUAACUUUAUGUUUCUCAUUACCUGA